rnacentral:lncRNA from 1 species
GGAGUUGAAGAGGAACAGUGAUGAACAAGCCCUAGAUUCGAGGAUAGUUCGGUGGAGAUUCAAGAUCCGGAGUGGUAUGGUGGUUUAAUCGGUGGAUAUGGUUAGAAUUUGAUUUCAAUCGGUGAAAAAGAAGGAAAAGGUAACAUCAAUUGGUCCAAGGUGAGGAAAAAGGCGAGGAGAAUACGAAUAUGAGAAAUGGUUCAGUGAGAAAACUUACGGUGGAGGUGAGGAAACUGUGGUUCGUGGUGGAAGAUGCGUUUGGUCGUGGAGUCGAUGGAGAGGAAACGAGCCUUGCGCGAGAAUGAUAUGUGUUGUGCAAAUGAAGAUAUGGUGUUGAGUUCGCGAGAAAGAGAUCUCGAGAGAGAUAUCGUGUAUGCGUGGCAGUAGGCCUGAUGUGAGCCACAAGGACGUUGUUGAUUGGUGAGAGUGAGAAAUUAUGAUGUGAAAAUGAGAGAAAUGAAAGUGUGAGAUGAAAGGUGGCCAGAGGAGAUCCUUUGGGAUUCUCUCACCUUGACUUUCAAGGUAGAAUUGCUCUAGAGUUUUCUCAACAUAAUACAAUUCAAUAUGCUCAAAAGUGAUUACAAGAGAUGUUUAUAUGUCUAUAUAU